UGCAAGAUUUCCUUUACUUAUGAGGUCAUGUGAGCCACAACCUCCACCAGGAGAAAGAGAUGUAAAAUCUGAGUGGCUGCAUAUUUUGUUUAAAAGCAUUACAUUAUUGCAUCAGGCUGUACUGCACUAAUUAAAGGCGAUCUUCUUCCUUUACUACCCAAGGUUCAGGGGCCUUUGAGGAAGAUAAGAUUAGUCUCAAGGAAUGAAGGCAGAUUCUCUUUGCACAUCCAUGUUACAGUCGACCAUGGAGGCAGUUUACUGAAAUGGUAGUACUCAGCAAAUAAGCAUGCACUUAUGGAGACAACACGGAGCAUGGAGCAUGGUGACUAUAUGGAGAAAAGCAAAGACAUCUGACUGACAUCAGACUUUGUGCAUGUAUGGAGCAAAAAGAAUUUGCCAGAUCAAUGGCCCUAUACCAUAUGCCAGGGGAUAUGUCGAUCUGCUCUAGUAACAAAACCACAUUUGAAGGAGCAACUGCAAUUGGAGUCACCAUCUGGUUAAGUUUGUAGAAACCCACUGUCAUUCUCCAAGAUCCAUCUGUCUUCCACAGAGGCCAAAGAGGCAAGUUAAAUGGGAUGUGACAGGAAUCACUAUCCCUGCAUCUUUCAAGUCUUU